rnacentral:lncRNA from 1 species
UGUCCGCCAGGCUGGAGUGCGGUGGCGUGAUCUUAGCUCACUGCAACCUCCGCCUCCUGGGUUCAAGCAAUUCUCCUGCCUUAGCCUCCUGAAUAGCUGGGAUUACAGGCUCCCGCCACCACGCCUGGUUAAUUUUUGUAUGUUUAGUGGAGACGGGGUUUCACUGUGUUGGCCAGGGCUGGUCUUGAACUCCUGACCUCAAGUGAUCCACCUGCCUCGGCCUCUGAGAGUGCCGGGAUUACAGGCGUGAGCCACUGUGCCUGGCCUGAUCUGGUUAACUCUUAUAUUUCAGUGCUUUCCUAGUGUCUGCUAUUUAUUUGUUUAUUCACUUAACAAAUACCUUUGAAGCUUACCAUGUGGCAGGCCCUGGACUAGGCACAGGGAGAACAGUGGCCACAGUCCCAUUUUCCUAGAGGUUAUAGAAGGUUAUGGUAGAAAAAAACCAGGAAUUAAUAAAAUAAUCACACAAAUAAAUGUGUGAGUUAUUCGUUGAGAGAAAGUAGCAAGAUAUAACAAAGGAAUUUCAUCUAGUCUGAGGUUGUAAAAGACUUCCCUGUGAAAGUGACAUUUGAACUGAAAUCCAAAAAAUAAGUAGAAGUGAAUGCGGUCAAGUGGAAUGGAGGUGGGGGUGGGAUGGGGGAAGAUCAGGGUCUACAGUGGGAGGCACUUUGGCAUUUCCAAGGUACUGAAAGAAGGCCAAUGCAAGAUGAGGCCGACAGCUGGGCAGUGGUCAGGCUGCCAGGUCAGGGACCUCAGGGGCUAUGUUAAUGAUUUUUUCUUCAUCCUAAGGGCAGCAAGGAGUUAUUGAAGUCUCCGAGAGUGCACUUGCCUUAAUCAGAUUUGAAUUUUGAAAGCUCACUUUGGCUAUUUCAUGGAGGGGACUGUUAAGUGGGUGGAGGUGGAUGUGAGCAGCUCAGUUAGGAGGCUCUUGCUGUAGUCCUGGCCAGUAAUGAGAGUAUCUUGGGCAACAAUGGAGCUGAAGAAGAGUGCGUGGAUUCAAGAGCUGUUUAGACGGGUAUAGUCAACAGGCCUCAGUGAUUGGUUCGAUGUGGGUGAGGGACAAGGAUGACUCCUAAGUUCCUGGCUGUUGGACCUUCUGGAUAGUGGAUUAUUUCUUUCAAGGUGGCAGAUGCUUGAAGAGGCCAAUUUGAGCGUAGAGAUUGUGAGCUCACUUUUGGACAUGCUGAGUUUGAGAUGCCUUUGGGGAAUCUGAGAGGCAAAGUCAGGUUGGCAGUUAGAUUCACAGAUCUGGAGCUGAGAGGAGAGGUCUGGGCUGGAGAUAGGAGUUUUGGCAUUAUUGGGUUGUAGAGGUAAUCAAAGCCAUGGAUGUAGAGUAGCUUGGCCCUGGAAAGUGGGCAUCCUGAAGUGAGAAGGGAAAUGAAGCUAGUCAUAGCCUUGAGGCCCUCCAACAUUCAAUGGAUGUGUAGAGGAUGAAACUGCCAAGGAUAGUGACAACUGGAGAGAGGCAGGAAGAAGAAAAGAGGCUACUUGAAAAAGAAGUGGUAGGGUAUCAUGUCAAAAGACACACAGGAAGAACUCAACAAAUGUUUGAUGAAUGAAAUAAAAAAUGAAUUAAUGAAUAAAUGAGACUUGCUUCAGAUUACAUGGCCAGGAAAGCUAGACCUGGGAGUCAAACCCCGGUCAUCUUUAAUUCUCUGCACUUUCCCUUAUACCGUGCUGACUUUCACGUCCAAAAUCUUACAUUGAAAGAGGGGACCCUUCUUAGAAAAGGUGGGGAUUGAACUGAGGUUUUGAAAGAAGGUUUGGAUUUGCAGAGUGGAGUGGGUAUUUCAUUUGGAUUCGAUGGCACUGCCAAAGACUUGGAGCUGGAGGUGAGAAAAGCAUGCUGACCCUUACGCCUUUGCUUUCCUCCUUCUCGUCCUCAACUUCUAAACCCUUGUUGGCUCUUCCAUUUGUUACCCCCAUUCCCAUAUGUGCUUCUUUCCAUCUACCACUUGACUCUGGUCCUCCCUAUGCCAGAUCAACUGCCUGUGACCCUUGACUGCUCCGCUUGGACAAGUGGUCUCUAAACUUACUUCCUGCUUUAUCUUAUGCUCGUUUUUAAACAUUAGCCCAUCCAGAAGCUGCAAUAUUCAUUCAUUAAUUAUUCAUUUAUUUAACAAGUGGUAAUGAAUGCCUGAUACAUGUCAGGCACUAUUCUAGCUUCUUGGCAUGCAUUAAUCAACAAAACUGACAAAGAUCCCUGCUUUUAUUUAGCUGACAUUCUAGCAAGGAGAGACAGACAAUAAAAUGAGUAAACCAUGGAGUAUGUUAGAAGGCAACAACUGAUACAAAAAAAAAAGAAGAGAAAAGCACAGCAGGAUUAGGGGGAUUGCAUGUGGGGCUGGAGGUCAAGGUCACAGUGUAGGUUUUAGUCCUGAGUUAUCAAAUCUGACAGCCUUUUUCCAUACCUUGGUCCACUGCUUUCACUGCUUCCCUGCCAAACUUCCCAAGACUCUGAGGCCAGGCUCCAUCUCCCACAGCCCCAUCUAUUCAGCAGUUUGACUAUGAUGUCCCUUUCACACACCUGAACUUUGAGAUUUCCAAUUGCCCUGGCCUAAAUGUCAUAAACAUCACACCCCUCUGCCUGGCUUUUGAAGCACUCUGCAAUCUGACCUGGCCCAUCCACUUCUGUGACACUUGGUUUUACCAGUUCGGGUGCAUUUGCCCUUGUUGCCUUGAGAGUGACUUGCUCAUGCAUCUGGAAUUUCUUCAGCAGAUAAGCCCUGUGUUAGAAUUGGGGACAGAGGGAUGAAUUAAAUUCCAUUUCUGUUCUUGAGAUGGCCACGGCCCAGUGUGGAAAAAAGUUUUCCAGCAGUUACAAGACGUUAUGGGGUAGAUGUGAUUAAUGGGGCCCUCGAGUCAGUCCUGUCCUCCAGCAGCCGUGAACAAUGGACCCCAAGUCAUGUCAGUGUGGCCCCUGCUACCCUCACCAUCUUGCACCAGCAGACAGAGGCAGUGCUGGGAGAGUGUCGGGUGCGUUUCCUCUCCUUCCUGGCCGUGGGCAGAGAUGUCCACACGUUUGCAUUCAUCAUGGCUGCCGGCCCAGCCUCCUUCUGCUGCCACAUGUUCUGGUGCGAGCCCAAUGCUGCCAGCCUCUCAGAGGCUGUGCAGGCUGCGUGCAUGCUUCGCUACCAGAAGUGUCUGGAUGCCCGUUCCCAGGCCUCCACCUCCUGCCUCCCAGCACCCCCUGCUGAGUCUGUGGCACGGCGUGUAGGGUGGACUGUCCGCAGGGGUGUUCAGUCGCUGUGGGGCUCCCUGAAGCCCAAACGGCUGGGGGCCCAUACCCCAUGAAGAAGCCCCCACCUUCCCUCCACCUGCUUGUGUUGGGCCCCAGGGAACUAAAGGGUGUGGGUCAGGGAGGGGUCUAGAGGCUAUUCCUAGGCCUCAGGCCUCCCAAAUAUGCCCCUCCCCAGUAGCUACGGUUCCCUGCCUAGGAGCUGGGGAGGGAGAGAUCUAAUCCCUUCAAGGAAGUGAUAACACUGGAGUGGUAACAAGAGGAGCAGGAAGCAAGGCCAGCCCUGGUUCUCCAUCCCCAUGUGUUUCAGGUGGAACAGGAGGAACUGGUCCAGGCCAGGCCUCAUCCUCCUGGACCCAGCAGGGGCAGAAGGAGGAAGGGACUGGUCCAGGCAUGGGUCCCUUCCCCCUGCUCCAUGGGCACCUCUGCUGUAUUGAUAUCACUAAUAAAGUCUGUCUGCACUGC